UUCGUCUUGGAAAAAACAACA
rnacentral:piRNA from 1 species